rnacentral:rRNA from 1 species
UACGUAGGUGGCAAGCGUUGUCCGGAUUUACUGGGCGUAAAGCGCACGCAGGUGGCUAAGUCAGUCGAUUGUGAAAGCCCUGGGCUUAACCUGGGAAUUGCAGUCGAUACUACUUAGCUAGAGUAUGGGAGAGGGCAGUGGAAUUCCCGGUGUAGCGGUGAAAUGCGUAGAUAUCGGGAGGAACAUCAGUGGCGAAGGCGGCUGCCUGGCCCAAUACUGACACUCAGGUGCGACAGCGUGGGGAGCAAACAGG